CUCCUGGACUGGGUGGUGCCAGCCACAGGCAGGGCAUCUGCUUUCUGGGCCCUCGCUCUGUCUCACCGGGGACACCCACAGGCACACCAGGAAUGAGGUCUCAUCCGGCAACACAGAUUUAACACACAUGCACAAAACGUGGGAUCGCCACUUGGCUAAAAGAUCUUGAAAGAAUAUCUCAGGGCCGUGCCUUACUGUGUGAGCUCCCGAAAUCAAGAUUUCAUUUGUUCGACACCUGUAGCUCCAUGAGAGAGAUGGCAGCUCAGCCUGCCCCUCUGCUUUCUCUCCUGCAGAGAACGUCGUGCCUGGCAAUCCUAAGCACUGCUGGAUGGAUGGAUGAACAAACGGGAAGAUGGACUGGGCCAGAUUCUCAGAGUGUUUAAGCAGGACACGAGCAUGCCUGUGCUUCUGCCCCGCAGACAUUUACCCGGGACUUCUGCCUAACGGUUGACUGCCAUGCCUACGUGUGGAAUUCGGUCCGUUGAUGUCUCCUAGAAACACUGCUGCUAGUGCUGCUGCUGCUGCUGCUGCUGCUGCUGCUGUGUGCUCUUCCUUCGGCUUCCAUGAGCUCCUUGACUGGCAGUGUCCCCAGGGCUCCAUUUGUCGCUUGGCUGCAGGCACUGGGUGCUGGUCUACAAGCUCCCUCUGGGCCCGGCGCCCUUUCUCACUGUGCAGCAGCAGAGGGCAUUGUCUAGGUACAGCUGCCAACGGUGGACUGCAGAAAGCGUAAUGCUGAGUCACUGCCCAUCAGCGAGCACUGUACGGGUUAAGGAGUAAUCUGGGAUGGGAGCGGCUGCCCAGAGGUGAACUGCGUCACUGCUUGUCAUUUCCACCCUACAAGAAGGAGUGUAUAGGGCUGGUCAGAAAAUAGGUGUGGGGCGGGGGAUUCAGCUCAGUGGUUCUGGUGCCUGCCUCCCAAGUGCAAGGCCCAGAGUUGAUCCCCAGUACCAAAAAGCAAAGCAAAACAAAUAUGGUGUGUUUCAAAUAAAAGAAAAAUUAUUGCAAUAAAAGACACAUUGGCAUCAAUCCCCCUCAGAAUCCUCCCCCUCACUUUGAACACACUUAUCCCAUUUUCUUGCCGCUUUCUGAAGCAGUUCUGGAGUCCUCUUUCAUGAGUGUCUUUACAAGGUGUAAUAAAAAAUAUGAGGAAUGCUGAUGCUGAGUGUCAUCCAACGGAAAACAUAAAAACACCACAGUGUGUUCUCAUCUACUUCAUUCACCACACCCAGCACUGUGGGACUUUUGGUUCUUCUCAAAAGUCAAAAUGACCAUGAAAGACGAACAGUUUGAUUCAAUUCAGGGCACUGAGGCAGACACAACAGUACAACUAGAAAAAUUCAUGAAAGAGGACUCGAAAACUGCUUCAGAAAGGAACAAGAAAAUGGAAUAAAUGUGUUUAAAGUAAGGGCAAGUGUGUUGAGAGGGAUUCAUAGCAAUGUAUCUUUUAUUAUAGUAAAUUUUUUAAAACUUAAAAAUUCAUAUUUUAAUGAUACUUCAAACAUCAUAUUAACUUUAUUCACUUCAUAGAUGUAUUACAUUGGGGUGCAGCUCUGUGGCAGAUCGCUUGCCGAACACAUACAAGAUAGCUCGAGAGUCAAUCCCCAACCCUGAAAAAAAUUACCUCAAAUGCUAAUGACAUUCGAUGGACUCCAAAACAUUUUUAAAUGAAAAAAUUGGAAGAGAUAAUUAAUAAGGAUUCGUCUAGCUUUUUGAUGAGCGUAUGAAGUCUUUGCAAGCUCUUACUGUUUCUCCAGGUGAGUCCUAUCUCCAUACAUGGUCACAAUUUCCUUCCCUGUCACCAGAAGGAACCGCACUCACCUGUGUGCCGUCAGAACAGCUCAAACAUCCAUCACACAGGCUGCCCGAGCCUGAGGGGAGCUGCUGCUUCAAGACGUUUGCUGUUCCUCAGCCUUGCUCAUGAUUUGCUAGGAGGUCGUCAUGCUGUCCUUCUGUGCUUCCCUCCGGUCCCAGACAGACCUGUUACUGGUCCACACUGCUCUGCACCCAUGGUCCCGUCUGCCCUGCUCUUCCCCUCCUUCGCCACCAUGCCCUUUUCUCGUCUCUCCUUGUCAAGCUCUUGCUCAGAUUCCCAAUUUCUAGGCUAGCGCUGACAUUCUCUGUCACCUUGUUUUUUGCUAUUCUUAUAUAGGAUUCUGUUUCUUUAUUAGUGCAUGUUGAUUACACCAAAUAAUGGGUGUCACCGCGGCAUAUUCAUGUGCACAUCCAUCCCCAUCAUACUUCAGUCAGGUCUGUCCCAGAGCCUUCUUCACCUCCCUCCAUCCCUUCCUCUCCUCUGUCUUCUUUCCAGAAGUCUGUGUUCUUUCACAUCAUCUCUUUUUUCUAUGCAUGAAAGAAAACAUGUGAUACUUGUCUUUCUGUAUCUAACUUACUUUACUCAACAUGUUGAUCUUCAGUUCUAUUUUUUUACAAAUGACAUAAUUUCAUUCCUCACUGUGACUGACUAAAGCUCCAUCGUGUAUGGAUUUCACUGUUUCUCCAGUCAUCUGUUGAAGGGGCAUCCAGGCUGGUUCCGUAACUUGGCGAUGUGACUUGUGCUGCAGCAAACAUGGAUGUGCAGGUAUCUCCACAGUAUGCUGACUUUAAUUCCUUUGAGUACAUACCUAGGAGGGAGGUAGUUGGAUCAUACUGUAGUUUUUUUUUUUUUUUUGGUUUUUAAUAUGAGUUCUAUAAAUACCUGAGUCCUGUGAUUUCCUUAUUUGCUUUGCAGUUCAUUUGCUUGGGAGGUGUGGGAAGAUUGUCUUAAAAAGGUGAAUUCCUCAUAUGACAGAGUCUGGCCACAGUGGGAUCUGAUCACACAAACGACCCAGGUGUUCUGAUGAAAGUUGCUGUCCACGCUUCAGGCAGUGUUUAGGAUUUAAAUGAAUGAGCUUCAGGGGAUCUGUGAACCUUCAGAAUUUUUUUACAUUCUAUAUCUUUAUGUCCAUUUGUAUUUUUCUAAGGGAAGGUUUCCUAACUUUCAACAGACUAUUAAAGGAGCCUGUGUCAGAAUUUUUUAAAAAGCAAUCUAUUAAACCAUUAAAUGAGGGUUUCAGAUAAAAGAAAACUUCUUUGUUAUUUGAGGACUAAAACAUAAAUUCAAUAUUGAGGUCUGAUACAUACAUUUUACUGUACAGGGUACUUUGAGACAUCACACACACAGAUCAUGCCUUUCAGAUUGGCUAAGGACACAUGCACACCUGGGCUGCUUUGUUUCAAGGUCUAGAGCCCCAAGGCCUAGCAUCAAAGAGGCGGCACGUGUCUAUCAUGUUGGAGGAAAGAGUGUGCCGAAUUCCAUCCGCGAUUUUCAUGAAAUCAGUAGCUAGAGGAUUAAGAGUCUUGUCUGCAGAUUCUGCCUGGAAAAGAGACAGCCCUGAAGUGUAAACAGUUUUGUGCACCAAGAUCAGUGUAGAGCCUGGUCUCUCAUUCAUCAUGUUCUGGCUCUGUAAUUCUAGACACGUCAUUAGUAUUCCUGGGCUUCUGACGAUGGACUUCUUAUAGCAAUAGUGAUCUUUCUGCCAGGACAUAGGAUCCUAUGAUAUCAUGAGGCUCCCCAGAAUAUAGGCAUGGAUGCAGGUAUACAUACACACAAACCUAUAUACGUAUAUAUGCACACAUACAUAAGAUAUGUAUAAGUGGUGAAGCCCAACCGACCUCCAUUGCUGCUUGACAAAGUUCCAGCUGGGGGAAAGAAAGCAGGGAACACAUCGUACCCUCAUGUUUUAUUUUUUUCUUGCCAUAAUGUUUAUAAUUGUUACUCUGGUCACGGGAGUCAUUGUGUUUGUGACUAACAACAAACUCUCCAUGAGGCAAAUUGGCAAUGAUAUAUUGAAAUCUGAUCUGGCUCAAAAGUCUCAAAUUCCAGUUUCUCUUAGUUCUAUUGCCACAUCCACUCCUAAAGAAACCUCUCCUAAAACCCCCUCUGUUUUCCCACUAUUAUAACUCCCUCUCUUACUGCUGACAUUCUUUUUACUAAAGGGGUCUUAUAAAGAGAUUGAAAGGACAGACUUUAGAUGUAAGAAAUAGUGGGAAAUGGGAAAUAAAAAGAACGUUAAAACAGGUAAAUGCAUUAAGGAGGCAAGUUACUCAAUAUUUCUCAAAGUGCUGUAAAUAUCUCCUGCUCAUGGACUAUGAACCCAAAUGACAUUUAGUUAAGAUGAAUAGAGGUAAAAAGAACAUAGAGAGCUAAUAGCAAACUGUAUUAACCAUUGUGCAGUUUCUCAAGGGCUAGCUGGUGACCACAAGUUUGACAUUUAAUUUGAUUGUUACUUUCUGUUCUGCUUAGGUAUGGGACAAUGAGGGAACAAUUGCAGUUUUUAAGAAAUGUAUUCAUGAUGUUCAAUGAAAUGAAUCAGCUUAGAAAAAAUAUACUGUUUAACAAAAAUAACCUGUACCUCAUCAGAUAUUGCUAAGGCAACAUGUUCCGCCCAAUGCCUCUUCGCUAUUGCUUAAAGAUAUAAAAAUAAAUCAGACCCUGAGACUUCUCAGAGGGAACCUGAACAUUGCUUGUAAAGGUUCUUUUCUCAUCGCUGGCCCAGGACAUCUCCCCUUCCUACCCUACAUCGACUGCAGCUG
ensembl:lncRNA